UUGUCCCAGAAAGUUGUUUUUUAUACACCGUUAGCAUUGAAAUUAGACUUGAUAUUAGAUGAAAUGGUAGCAUGACUGGAUGUUUGAUGCAAACUGAAAUUCAACACCAAUUUGUGAGUGCAAGUAGACUAUGUACAUCUCUUUGUCCCUGAUUUCUCCUUAUUUAUUUGAACCAUUGGUACCAUCAGGUUUGCCUCCUUACUUGCUUGUGGUUUUAUGAGACAGCAUGGGAUGUUAGGAAGGUGGAUAAUGCCAUCUCCUUCUCCCAUGUUAAUUUCUUCUGUAGAUCAUUUUUUUGUUCGUCCGGUUGAGCAUAGUUUGAGGGUUCACUACAAAAUACAAAUAUUUUAGAAAUGAUAUAAUGAUGCUUAAGCUCUGGCAUGUAGACCAGCUUGACCACCAUAAGAGAAAAUGGUAGGGGCGAAUAUGUCAUUGUUUAGUUUUAGACAAAUGAAAAGCUUGAUUGUUGCCAAGUCAAAAGAACAUUAUUUCUGAGACCUGGCAUUUGUGUACUUUUCUGGAUCCAGAUUAUGCUUGACACGGGCAGCCGGAGUCACUACCUCUUAUAUGACCAAAUCCGUAUGCCACUAUUGAUUUGCAUAUCGCAGCAGACACAAAACACUUGCAGGCUAAAAUAAUAGGCCAAGCCUAGGACUUGGCCUUUUGGUCAUACGAUGUUGCAAAGCUGAGCAACAUCACUUCUUUUAAUUAGUUUAUCAAGAUCCAGCUAUUUCUUUCCUGACCCUUUGGGAUUAGAAUUUUAGCCACUGCAAACCUUCUGCAUUCCUCUGAUUAGUUAGUGCUGGGCGAAAUUUAAAAAGUUCUCUCACAGAUUUUAUUUUGGUUUGCAUGUGCUUUGCCCCUCGGAUCUUGUGACCAUGAUGUGGGUAAGCUCAAGGUUCAUCUGGUGUUUCCCAGUAGAGUAGCUGGGCUGCCUCAUGCAUUCAGGUUGCCCCCUCAGUUCUUCUGUUAGCUGCUCUUAGAUAAGGCCUUCAAGCCUCAAGUAUCUCUCUCACACACUGAGUCCAUCUGUUUGUUUUCCUGAGGUGCAGAUAGUUGACAUCUGCUUUAGGUCAGAUCAGUCCAAACAACAAGCAAGGUUUAUGCCCUGGAGGCGUUUUGUUUGUGUGAGAUUGUUGGUGUUGAAUUCUUAGCUGCACCAUUUCCUUUCUCCGGCAGAAUGGUGCACAAGUUGCAGUGAAUUUGUUGUUGAUGUUCUGAUGCCUUGAUGGUGUGGAGCUCCUGCUCAAUGCCAAGGCGCUGCAGAUGUCUAAUUCAGGACAGACAAAGUGGGAGAUCUGCAGCCCUGCCUGGUGGCUACAGCAUCCCCCAUCAACACUUAGGGCACUGUAGUGAUCUGAAAGGAAGACUUUAUUUCCGAGCUGCGGGUACUGCCAGCUGUGGCCAUUGAUGCUGCGAGCGGCGACGAUGGUGCGGCGGGGCCAAAGGUGCUGCCAGGGACAGGAAACGGUGCUGCAAGGGACAUGCGACAGUGCUGCUAAAGACGGCCAGGGAUACUACGAGAAGCAGCAGAAAGUACGAUUGGGUGGAGGAGUCAAGUGCGGAUCAGCUGACUAUGAGAGACUCGAUUUUACUGCAGAAGGCGGAGGAAUUGGGUUUACGAUCCCCUGAAAGACGCCAUCCAUUAAUAUUGUGAGAUUGUUCCUAUUCACAACGAGACCAAUGAUGGUCAGUUAUCUGGGUGUGAAGUUUAGCUGGCUUGUUGAAAAUCAUUAUGACAGUUCUGAUGCACCCUUUUGCUCGCUUAGAGCUGGUGUUGAUCCUUAACAACUGAUGUUAUAUUUAGUGCUAAACGAUAUGUAAUCUAAAUACAUGUUUUUUUCGCUUAUGAAACUGAAUGUGAAAACAUUUUCUUAUUUAGUACUAUUUUUCUCUGCCUAGAGCUUCUAAUUUAUGGCCGAUGUCAGUUCCAUAUAUUUAGGUGCUUGUGAUUUGUUAAACUAUGUAUUCAAUCUUAAUAUGAACUAAUGAGCAAUGCAAUUAAUGCAUGUGAUUA